AUUGAACGCUGGCGGCAGGCCUACCACAUGCAAGUCGAACGAGUGGCGGACGGGUGAGUAAUGUCUGGGAAACUGCCCGAUGGAGGGGGAUAACUACUGGAAACGGUAGCUAAUACCGCAUACCAUCGGAUGUGCCCAGAUGGGAUGAGCGCGGGUGUGGGGUAACGGCUCACCGAGUCGACGAUCCCUAGCUGGUCUGAGAGUAUGACCAGCCACACUGGAACUGAGACACGGUCCAGACUCCUACGGGAGGCAGCAGUGGGGAAUAUUGCGCAAUGGGCGCAAGCCUGAUGCAGCCAUGCCGCGUGUAUGAAGAAGGCCUUCGGGUUGUAAAGUACUUUCAGCGAGGAGGCGUUACUCGCAGAAGAAGCAUCGGCUAACUCCGUGCCAGCAGCCGCGGUAAUUC
rnacentral:rRNA from 1 species